rnacentral:lncRNA from 1 species
CACCUUGGUAUGAUAACUUUGACAUUAGUAGGUUUUCUAUACACUGCUGUUGUAACCAUUAGGGGUUCGUGUGUAAUCUGCACAUCCAGGUAAUGGAUCGUAUCCUUCACCUCCUGUUCACUAUUGUGUUUCAGCCCAUAGUCUAUCGCUAUAAAACUGUGUUGUAGUUUGCUUGCUUUGCUCCUUCCAUUCCAGAUAAUAAAGAUAUCAUCUACAUAGCAUAUAUAUAGGCUUGCUUCUUUUACAAGUAGACAUGAGGAGUACCAAUAGGGAGCCCGAUGAUGGGGGCACUAGCGGAACUAAUACUACACUCCAUAGAAGAGACCACAGCAACAGGCAUAAUACAAGAAGCAGAAAAAGAAUUAGCCUAUAUAAGAUAUGUAGGAAUAAGGCAUGGAUAGACUGGACCAUGGUUAAAGGGCAUAUAUAAUAAAAUAAGGAAUGAUGUAAUGCGACCUGAGAAAAAUGUGCAGGAAAGAAAGGAUUUUCUGCCUGUGCCACACCACCUGGCGGGACUGAAAGUUGUGAAGGAGAUAGCUAGGAAGGGCAAGAAAAAGUAGCGUACGAGAGAAAUCCCACGCUAUUUAAUACUUUGCGAAACGAGAAGGAUAAAUGAGAGCAAAAUGAGAGAAAGAGUGUUUAUAAAAUCCCCCUGAUAGAUAAUAAUACAUCAGAGCAGUUAGCAUAUGUAGGUGUAACAAUGAGGACAAUAGCAAAACGAAUGGAGGAGCAUAAAAAAGAUAUUUCGCAGGCUAACUUUAACACAGCCUUUGCAGCAACAGCAUAUGAGAGGGAUAUCGCAGUGAAAUGGAAUGAAGUGCAGAGUUUAAAACCUGUAAGAAAACAGGCUAGGCCAACCAUAGUAGAGUCGUUGGAAAUAAUAAGAGUAAAAAAAAAGCUAAUUAAUAAGCUAGCAUGGAAGCCGUCGGGGGAAUGGAAAUAUCUAUUGAGAAAGGAAGAUUAGUUAAGAGAUAUGAUUAAGAAAGGAAUCGGG